rnacentral:lncRNA from 1 species
AUAAUUCCAUUAUCUCUGUCACUUCUGAUUCUGCUUAUUUUCUUCUGUUUUGAGGUAAUAUAGUGUUUCUUUGCUUGUCUAGUGAAUUUUUAUUAAAUAUAUUAUGAAUGUUAUAAUAAUGGGUGUUAAUUAUUAUUUUUCUCUAAGGAGGGCUUAAGUUUGUCUUGUUAGGCAAUUAAGUUACUUGCAAAUCAUAUUAAUGUAUUCAAAACUUAUUUUUAAGCUUUGUUAGGGUUGUCCAAAGUAGCCCUAACUCUAGGGCUAAUUAAGCGAAACUACCAACACAUGAUUCUCUAGGUUCUUUACCGACUUCCUUGAGGCUCAGUGGGGUUUCUCAGCUCUGGCUGGAAGGGAUUUGAGUAUCUCUUAACCUUGCUUAAACUCUAGGAGUUGUGCAGGUUACAGUUCCCGGAGUAUUUUUCCUGAGCAGUUACUAUUUGUGCAGCUUUGUGGAGUUUUGUUGUAUCCAUGCAUAGUUAAGGGGGCCUUUAUGCAUAUUUCUCUACAGAAAUUGUUACUCUCCAAUAAUUUGCCCUGCAAAUUCUGGCUGUCUCAUCCUCCCACAAGUUCAAUAUUUGUCUUUUCAGCUUAGCAACAUUUCUUUUGCAUUUCUUGGGAUCUUCCUCCCUUUGCCAUCUUCCAGAAAUUGUCUAUAGGCAGAAAGCAAGGGCAAUAGUAGGCUUCACCUCUGUUUUCCUUUUCUCAGUGAUCACAGUCCCACUCUGCCUGUUCUCUCAAUGUCUGAAAGAUUUGUUUUAUGUAUUUUGCCUAAGUUUCUAGUUAUUUGUGCUAAGUAGGCUGGUUUUGUACCAGAAGCAGAAAUCAACUAAAGAUGAAUUUUAGGGAAGAGUUCUGGAAUAUGCCUCAUUGGCCAGAACUGAAGCUAUCUAUACCUACAAAGGAGACUGGAAAUGCAGCUUCUUCUGGGAAAAUAAAACAAAGGAGAGCAGAUUUUGUGAAAGAGUGAGCAUUAUAUACCAUCAUUGGAUAGUUGUUAGCUCACUUACCAGCGUAGCAACUUCUUGAGUGGAGGGUCAGAGCUUUCCUCAUUUCAGUAGCCUAUGAAGAGCCUGGUGCUCAUGACGUUCUUAGGAAAAAAACAUUGAAAAGAACAUGAUCCUGAGUACUGAACUCAUAAUUAGGCAUGAAGAAAGGAGACAAUGUAUGGUGGGUGAAAGUGGCAGAGAGAGUUGGAGACAAGGUUGGAAAUUAUCUUGGAGCUCCAAAUGCAUUGGCUCAUAGAUUAUUUUAAAACUCUGUUGAGGAAUCCGGGACUACAGAGCCCUGUUGUUCCCCUCACCUCCAAUGUCCUUUUCCAGACACCCAUGUCAUGUGUUUUAAAGCUCAGAUCAUAGAUCAUAAGCGAGCUACUAGAUGGAGCCUUCUCUGAUGUCCUACUUGUGGCACAGUUUUUCUACAGCAUGGUUUCUGUCAAGUUUUCAAAGCAUAUAAUGAUUCAUACUGCUGAUUUCUACCCUCAAGAAAGUGGAAUCUAUUCGGAAUUUCAAAAUAAAAACAAAGUUGUCUUUUAUUUCUGUUACUUUUUUACUUCCGUCACAAUGCCUGCCACCGUGAACACAAAGCAUAUUAAAUAAGAUCACUGUUCCUUGACCUGGUGUCAAGCAGCUGUUUGGAAGUUGUUUGUGUGUCAGUUGAGACAUAAUAAUAGAAUAAGCAUCCUGACAUCACUUGCCCUCUGACCACCAGUAGUGAUAGGGCUUGCUUUACUCAAGGAGGAAGUCCUUAACAACUCGAUCUACCCAGGCAAACACAACAAUCAUUCAGCUUUUUGUUUCAUUUUUUCCUUAACCUAUCACCAUGAAACAAAAUGGAUCUUUGAUCUCAGGCUGAAUGGAGGAAGAAGAGCUUUUCUAGUUGACGCCUGUCACAGAGAUCUGAUGAAGUCAAUGUAAAUGAGUCCGCAGAAGCUUGAUAGCCUAUAGAAGUCCUUGAAAAUCCCGAAUGGCACGAGAAGGUUGAAAACUAGUCAAGAUGCUGAUAUCUUCAAGAAGUUAAAUAUAACCUAAAAAAAUUAUUUGUCACAGAAUAAGAGCAACAGAAAUAAUCAGCAGAGUAAACAGACAAACCACAGAGUGGGAGAAAAUAUUAACAAAUUAUGAACCUGACGAAGGACUAAUAUCCAGAAUCUACCAGAAACUCAAAUCAGCAAGAAAAAAAAAACAACCCCAUCAAAAAGUGGGCAAAGGACAUGAAUAGACAAUUCUCAAAAGAAGAUAUACAAAUGGCCAACAAACAUAUGAAAAUGUGCCCAACAUCAGUAAUUAUCAGGGAAAUGCAAAUUAAAACCACAAUGAGAUACCACCUUACUCCUGCAAGAAUGGUCAUAAUUUAAAAAUUAAAAAGUAAUAGAUGUUGGCAUGGAUGUGAUGAAAAGGGAACACUUUUAUGCGCUGGUGGGAAUGUAAACUAGUACAGCCAUUAUGGAAAACAGUAUGGAGUUCCUUAAACAACUAAAAGUAGAACUACCAUUGGAUCCAGCAAUCCCACUACUGAGUAUCUACCUAAGGGAAAGAAGUCAUUAUAUGAAAAAAACACUUGCACACGCAUGUUUAUAGCAGCACAUUUCACAAUUGCAAAACUAUGGAACCAACCUGAAUGCCCAUCAACCAAUGAGUGGAUAAAGAAAAUGUGGUAUCUAUACACCAUUGAAUACUACUCAGCAUAAAAGGGAAUGAAAUAAUGGCAUCUGCAGCAAUCUAGAUGGAGUUGGAGACCAUUUUUCUAAGGAAAGUAACUCAGGGAUGGAAAACCAAAUAUUUUAUGUUUUUACUUGCAAGUGGGAGCUAAGCUAUGAGGAUGCAAAGGCCUAAGAAUGAUACAAUGGACUUCGGGUACUCAGGGGGAAGGGUGGGAGAGGGGUGAGGAAUAAAAGACUACACAUUGGUUAUAGUGUAUACUGCUUGGGUGACAGGUGCACCAACAUCUCAGAAAUCACCACUAAAGAACUUAUCCAUGGAACUAAAAACCACCUGUUCCCCAAAAACUGUUGAAAUAAAAAUAAACUGUCUAGCAUUAAUUUUUCUGUGUAGGAAAAAAUAAAGUCUUUUAAUGAA